rnacentral:lncRNA from 1 species
GGCUGGAGGUGGCCCCUGUGCCUAGGCCCAAGGGCAAUGUCCGUCCCACAACCUGCUUCUAACAGGAGCCGCCACCCUCUCUAAAUGGAAGUAGUGGGGAGGGUGGCCUCUGCCUGUCCCCUUUCAGGCUCCAGAGCUCUGCAAGGCCUCUGCCUGUCCCCUUUCAGGCUCCAGAGCUCUGCAAGGCCUCUGCCUGUCCCCUUUCAGGCUCCAGAGCUCUGCAAGGCCUUGGUUUCUUUAUCCCCAGGCAGGUCCUGUGGCCUAGCAGUUAUAUCUCAUAUGCUAAGUAGUGUAGACAUCUUGCCCCAUACACACAAGCACACACGUGUACACGCAUGUACACACACAACACACAUGCAGGCUCUUCUUAGCAGGUCACCCUUCCUUGGCUCUGCCUAGAACCUUCCCCACUGCAGCCCUGGUGCUUCUGGGCAGAUGGGGGCUGACAUGGGUUGUCUGACUUUUGGCCCAGCCUCCUGCCCUCCCCAGUGGCUUCUCUGAGAAGCUGGGUGAGGCAGGCAGGAACAGCUUCCCCCAUGCGUUGGAGAGAACAGCCCGGAGCUGGAGGCUGCUCUAUCCCUGCCUUCCCAGGGUCCUCAGGCAGGGCCCCUGCUGUGCUGUGGUGCUGUCCUAUCGGUCACUAAUGGAAUAAAGGCUGCGUCUCU